rnacentral:rRNA from 1 species
UACAGAGGUGGCAAGCGUUGUUCGGAAUUACUGGGCGUAAAGGGCGCGUAGGCGGCCUUCUAAGUCAGACGUGAAAUCCCCCGGCUUAACCUGGGAACUGCGUCUGAUACUGGAAGGCUUGAGUGCGGGAGAGGGAUGUGGAAUUCCAGGUGUAGCAGUGAAAUGCGUAGAGAUGUGGAGGAAUACCGAUGGCGAAGGCAGCCCCCUGGGAUAACACUGACGCUCAUGCACGAAAGCGUGGGGAGCAAACAGG